UACGAAGGGGGCUAGCGUUGCUCGGAAUCACUGGGCGUAAAGGGUGCGUAGGCGGGUCUUUUAAGUCAGGGGUGAAAUCCUGGAGCUCAACUCCAGAACUGCCUUUGAUACUGAGGAUCUUGAGUUCGGGAGAGGUGAGUGGAACUGCGAGUGUAGAGGUGAAAUUCGUAGAUAUUCGCAAGAACACCAGUGGCGAAGGCGGCUCACUGGCCCGAUACUGACGCUGAGGCACGGAAAGCGUGGGGAGCAAACAGGG
rnacentral:rRNA from 1 species